GCUAGCUUACCAUCUUCAGGACCAAACCAGUCCAACCAAAGCAAGCUCGACAACACCUCAAGCUCCGUGUCACUUGUCAGAAAGUUUCAAGAAAACAUUGCUUGGAUGAUCUAGAGAGCAGUCAUGUGACAGACUGGGCUCUGAAAAAUCACUGAGUGAUUUAGUGCAGUCGGGCAGACAAGACUUUCUGGGGCAGCUCAUCCAAGAGCCGUAGCUGUGCCAUGUGGGGCCAUGUGGCAGGCUGCAUGCUGAGUCACAAGAGCAAGGAAGGGGCACUUCUGAAUCACCACGACCACAUCCUGCCCCUCCCUCAGCUGUUCCCUAGAAACUGUCUGUCAUCUGCUGGGUGAGUUCUCCAUCUGAAGGGCAGGUAUGCUCAGUGCCCCAAACGCCUGUGAACCUAGGUCCGUUCUCCAAGAGCAUCUGGCUCUGUUUCUUCCAGUGGAAUGAAUGUGUGAAGCUCACUGUGAAUAUGUGUGAUGUCCGUGCACACAGACUUGGAUUCAGUGGGAUUUUUCACAUUCUGUUUGCUGGGUACAACACAGCAUCUAUCUCCACUUAGACAAACUCUUGAAAGAUGGCUGUAGCUGACGUACAUCAGAAAGAAAGAGGAGGAACAAUACCAACCCGAUAACAACUUGGGAGGAAUGUGUUCUUUCUUAGAAUUAUAAGACACGUAUUCAUUACUGGUGGAGUCUAAGCAAGCAUGUCACCCCCCUCUGACUCAUCAGGAAAGAAUGUAUGGCAGGCAACUGAAAAUCCUCCCAGUCACCUUCGAUCCAGGGGAAGUUUUCACAAUGAGUCCCACCUCGGCUGUGAGUUUGGCAUGCAUAGUCUUUCUUAGAUUGAGAUGCACUCCUUCUGGACCUAAUUGAUUGCAAGUGGUCUUAUUUGGGGAUGCUGUGCAAAAUCGGGGAGGUAAAGGCCUAGCUGGAGGAGGCAGGUCACCCGAGGGAGAUCCUUGGGGACACAGGACCAUUGUCACUUCUGCCCUCAUCCUGUUCUCUGCCACACUGUAAUAUGAACAGCUGUCUCUGCCAUCAGCUCCCACCACUAUGGCGUUCUCCAGCUCCUAGUGCCAAGCAACUAUGGACUGAGACUUAUGGAACCAUGAACCAGAAUGAACAUUUGCUUCCUUUUCCUGUCAGGCAUUUCUGUGAGAGCGAGGCAAAUGGAACUAAUACAUGUGACAUGUGUCACACUUCAUACUGUAAGUGUGAUGCAUUACAGUUGAACUGUCUUUGUAUCGAAGGGACAUUGUCUUAGUGAAUGAUCUUUUUAAUAGUUUGCCAAAUUUGGUUUGCUAAUAUUUUGUUGAAGACUCCUAUAUGUAUAGUAGUCAGGAAUAUUGGCCUAUACUUUUCAUUUCUUCCAGCAUCCAUAUCUGUCUUUAGGGUCAAUAUAAUGCUGAAAUCACAAAAUGAAUUCAGAAGAAUUUUCUCAACCUCGGGUUUUUUUUUUUUUUUCAUCUGUUUGUUUGUUUUUGUUUUAAAGACAAGUCUCUCAUUAAACCUGGAAAUCACUGCAGCCACUAGUGAGCAAUCCCCAAGGAAUUCUCCUGCUUCUGGCCACCCAGUACUGGAGUUACAGCCAAUAAUGCUGACAUUUUGUGAGCUGGUUAGUUUUCUCAACUUGAUCCAAACAUGGACAUGACCGGGAAGAAGAAGAGUCAACCGAAGAAUCACCUCCAUCAAACCAGCCUGUGGGUGUGCGGAUUCGUAUGCUGGUGGGGUUUUCUUGGUUGCUGAUUGAUGUGAAAAGACCCAGCCACUAAAGGACGUCCCAUCCCUGAGUGCCUGGGCCUGGGUGGUGUAGGAAGAGCAGAUGAGCAAGCCAGAAGAAGCAAGCCAGUGAUCAGUGUUCCUCCAUGACCUGCUUCAGUUCCUGCCUCCAGAUUCCUUUCUUGAGUUUCUUCUCUGGCUUCCCUCAGUGAUGGACUAUAAACCUAUAAGCUAAAACUAACACCUUCCUCCUGAGUGGAUUUUGAUCAGUGUUUUAGCACAGCAAUAGAAAUCAAACAAGAACAGUUUGCCAAUCUUGUCUCUUUAAGGAAAAUCAAGUUUAGUCUUUUGAUGUUUUUCUCCAUUUUUUCAAUGCUCGAUUAUUUCUGUUCUAUCUUUGCUAUUUUUUUCUGCUCACUCUUUUGGGUUUUGUUUUCUUUUUUCUACUUUCUUGAGCAAUAAGGCUACUUAAGUUGUUCUUUUUAAUAAGCAUUUACUGUUAUUAACUUCUCUCAUGAAUGUGGCAUGCUGUGUUUCCAUUUCUGUUUGUCUCAGGACAUUUUCUGAUUUCCCUCUGAAGAUCUUCUUUGACUCAUGUUCACAAAGCAUAUUGCUUAAUCUUCAUGUAUUAUGAAUUUUCUGACAUCCUUCCUAUUGCUUCCCAGCUUAAUACCAUUGUGACAGGGAAUGACACUUGACAUGAGUCAGCUCUCUUAAAUGUCUCAGUCCAUCCCAAAGAAUGUACUGUACUUGAAAAGAAUGUGUAUUUUGCUUCUAUUUUAUGGGAUGUUUUCUGUGUCUCACAGUUCUAUUCACUCUAAAGCCUGAUUCUUACCCAAUGUUUCUUUGCUAUCUACUGAAUUGAACCAUAUACCCAUUGUUGACAGUGGGACACUGAGGUCCCCAAACUCUGUUGUAUCACAACCUACAUCUCCAGAUCAUGUAAUUUUUUAUGUCUAGCUGUGUCUAUGUUGGGUAUAGGUAUAAUUUUAAUAGCUUCUUGAUAAUUUAAUUCUUUAUUAUUGUAUAAUUGUUGUGGAACAUUAGUUGAAGAGGUGUUACAUUCGUUUAUGCUGUGGAGCAUUUGUUUAAGGAUGCAAAGAUGUGCUGCGCUCUUUCAUGUUGCAUUUGUUUAACUCUAUGAAGUUGUGUUACGUUGCCUAGCUAAAACACCUGAUUGGUCUAAUAAAGAGCUGAAUGGCCAAUAGCUAGGCAGGAGAAGGAUAGGCAGGGCUGCCAGGCAGAGAGAAUAAAUAGGAGAAGAAGCAGAAGACAGAGCGAAAAAAGGAGAGGGGAUGCCCGCCAGGGGCCAGCCACCCAGCAACACAGCCAGACAUUGAAUAAGAAGGAAAGAAAAUAUAUACAGAAAUAGAGAAAGGUAAAAAUCUCAGAGGCAAAUGGUAGACAGGACAAUUGAAGAAAAGCUGGCUAGAAAUAAGCCAAGUUAAGGCUGGGCAUUCAAGAAAGUCUCCAUGUGAUUAUUUGGGAGCUGGGUGUUGGGUUCCCAAAGAAUAAAGAGGAAAAAAAGCCUGUACAUAAUGACCUUCUUUAUUUAUCUUUUGCAGUUUUUUUUUAAUGUAUGUUCCAUUUUUUAAGUGUAUGCCGUGCAUGUGGCAUCCUGAAAGACCAGAUAGUAUCAUCAAAUGAGAGUUACAGAUGGUUGUGGGUCAUCCUGUGUAGGUUACUUGGCUUUAUUUCCUUUCUCAGGUGUUUCAGUUCCAGGAUUCUGCAAUCUUCUAUCUUUCGUCGGUGCCAGGGCAUUUCAGGAGGGAGGACUGCUUGUAGCCUUUAUUGGUAUUUUUGCUGUUUAGCUUGAGUUUCCAGAUGGCCAGCUGGUUGUAACAGGGAAUACUUAUUACCAGGUUCUCUAAUUGGGCCUGACCUUUGCUCCAGAAUCAAAUGGAGCCCAUGGCUAGGGUUAUGCUCUCUAGUGAGAUCAUGGCUGGACUCUGAAGUCAGACAGAAUUCUUAGCUGGCCACUGCAAUUCCUCAGAAUCACAGACUGGAUUCUCUACCAGGCAGUACAAUUAGCAUUCUGUAGUUGGGUAAGGCUGCCAACUAAGGUCU
rnacentral:lncRNA from 1 species